UACAGAGGUCUCAAGCGUUGUUCGGAUUCAUUGGGCGUAAAGGGUGCGUAGGCGGCGCGGUAAGUCGGGUGUGAAAUCUCGGAGCUUAACUCCGAAACUGCAUUCGAUACUGCCGUGCUUGAGGACUGGAGAGGAGACUGGAAUUUACGGUGUAGCGGUGAAAUGCGUAGAUAUCGUAAGGAAGACCAGUGGCGAAGGCGGGUCGCUGGACAAAUGCUGACGCUCAUGCACGAAGGCUAGGGUAGCGAACGG
rnacentral:rRNA from 1 species